rnacentral:lncRNA from 1 species
CUUAAUCUGAGAUAGCAAGUAGGCACCUGUACCCAAGGCUUAUGGCCACAGGACUCUUCUCUCCAAGGUGAAGGGCUCAAGAAUUAUCCGAACUCCUCUUCUUCUUAAAGAAAACUUUACCUCGCAGCCCAAAGCAAAAAUGCAAACUAAGCAGCAGAAACCUUGCUGGAGGGAAAGAUGCCAGCUUUCCUCUGCACAGUACUCACACCCCAGAAGCUUAGUUCCAGACCACGGCAGGACCUCAGAUGUGCAUUUGUGGGCCAGCUCCUGCUGUCAUCUGACCCUCUGCUCUGGGAAGAACAGAGGAUAUACCAUUAUGAGACAGUCUGUAGCCACAUACAGGCUGAAGAAAGGGAUGAAGAAGAAAAGAGGUGGGACAGAUCACACAGCACCUCAUGCCUUGCUUCAAUGGAUGCAGAAGUCAUGCAGAGCUUGGCUGAAAAACCGCUCUCUUCUAAUAGGUUGUACAUGAUUUUUCCGUUAGAUGUAAAAUGGUUGAAGCCUUUGGGAAAACUGCUUGCAAGCAUGGGCUUGGAUCCAUGCAAUAAUUUGCUCUUGCUUUGUGCCAGAGUAAUCCCACUGCCUUUAAAGGAGGUGUAGACAGGGAUGAUGUGCCCAGGUAGCAGAGCUGAUUUCUUCUUUAGGCAUCCACUUGUGCAAUCAUCAGCUCUUGGCUGAGUUACUAUGGUAAUAAGAGUAUACUGUGGGCAUUACACUUGCUGUCACCAGGAUCAGAGGAGAGGGCGAUGCUUUGUGCUCAGUGAUGCAUCUGAGAGAGCUUUAAAGACACUGAGCAGGGUGCUGCCCUGGAGCUCAGCUGCCUGCCAACAGGCACCAGGCUGCUCUCACCAAGGGAGAAGGAGGUGACAGGUGCUAAACGCCUGCAAGGAGCUGUGACCUGGACCUGAACAGAUGAGCAGCCUCUGAACUGGCUCUGCAAAAUGAAGUACAGGACCUGGGUUCUAUGCCUGCAUGCAAACACUACUGAAUCUGUCCUUUCUUCCAGGCCUGAAAAGCUUAUGGAAAAAAAGCUUCUACUGGUGCAGAGACCCUGUUUUGUGCAGCACGGAGUGUUAAAUAGCACCUUGUGCAGAGACUGUGAGUAUGUGGGAGGAGCUCUCAGGUCCUGCUCUGGCAGCCCCAAGCACUGCUUCCUUCCAGCUCUGCACUGCUUCAUCCUAUUUUUAUCACUUGGGCUGCAGUUUUUAUAUACUAUUCUUAUCCUUCAUUACUGAUUACACCUGAUUAUGAAGGAACUUAAAUUUCCUCAACAUGCAUUAAUGACUAUUUUGCUCAGCAUAAAUCAGAGAGCAGCAGUGGCAGUCACAGGUGAGGAAUGGGGUUCUGCAUAGGGG